rnacentral:lncRNA from 1 species
AAGAUGAAACCAAGAGCAAGUCUGUAUAAAAUCUGAUAGACUGGGUGAGUACAAAAAUUUUUACUUCUACUUGCAAAAUUGGAUACACAGAAAAUAAGAAAAAGAAUGUUUAAAUGACUGUUCUCUAAAUAUCAAACUGUACUUUUAGCUGUUAUCACUCCCGUUCACCUUUUUUUAUACUGCAGUCUAAAUACUGUCCAUUUUAUCUCAUAAAUGUUGUGUUUAUACUUUGCUCUUAAUCCUUGCCCCACUGUGUUUUAGUUUAGGCCCUUAUUUUCUCUACGUCUUUCCUUUCAACUCCCCCUUAGGUUCUCUUCAAAUUUGAAAGUCUUAUAAAAUCACUCUCCUGCUUAUAUAUAAAUAAACAUACAUAUAUCUGAACAGAUGCAUCUGAAUAUCAUAUGUACAUAAAAUUUUAAUAUUUAGCCUUUCACAGUCUGACCUCAUCAUUGCCUCAUCAUUUCUAGGUGACACUUGACACUCUAAACACACAUGUCUCUGGGUCAUUGAAAAGAUAUCUCUCAUCAUAAGCGGAUAUAAUAACCCAUCUAUCUUUUGGAUUAGUCUUUUGUACAUUUAAGGAAAUGGUCAAGAAGUGUAGAGUAGCCUAACAAAAUUGUACUGACACUCCAUAAGACUUGUCAGGUAGCUCUCUGACCUCCAUUUUAGGAUAUGGAGUUGAGCAUUCUGUCAGUGUGGCAUAUCAUUAUAUGUAAUACAGCAUUUGUUUCCAUACUACAGUGAGAUCCUUGAGCAGAGAGACUUUGUGUCCCCAGUGCAUUAUAUUG